rnacentral:lncRNA from 1 species
GGCGCAGAAAGGAGCACAGGCAGACAGAGAGGCCAGCCCAGCUCACCUCCUGGCUCCUGCUGUGGAGCAGUCUGUUCCUUUUUCAAGACAGCGGCAGCAUGCCCAUCACCUCUAAUAACACAUGGUGAGAACAGUAGAAGGAAGUCUGAAAGAAAAAGAAAAAGAGGGGGAAAAGGGGGAAAGAACAAGGGGAAGAAAAGAAAAGAGAAGAAAAGAGAAGAAAAGAGAAGAAAAGAGAAGAAAAGAGAAGAAAAGAAAAGAAAAGAAAAGAAAAGAGAAAAGAAAAGAAAAGAAAAGANNNNNNNNNNNNNNNNNNNNNNNNNNNNNNAGAAGGAAAGAGAAGAGAAAGAGAAGAGAAAGAGAAGAGAAGAGAAAGAGAAGAGAAGAGAAGAGAAGAGAAGAGAAGAGGAAAAGAGAAGAAAAGAAAAGAAAAGAAGAAAAGGAAAAAGAAAAAAGAAAAGGAAAAGAAAAGAAAAGAAAAAAGAAAAGAAAAGAAAAGAAAAGAAAAGAAAAGAAAAGAAAAGAAAAAAGAAAAGAAAAGAAAAGAAAAGAAAAGAAAAGAAAAGAAAAGAAAAGAAAAGAAAAGAAAAGAAAAGAAAAGAAAAGAAAAGAAGAAGGAAAGAGAAGAGAAGAGAAGAGAAGAGAAGAGAAGAGAAGAGAAGAGAAGAGAAGAGAAAAGAAGAAGAAAAGAGAAGAAAAGAAAAGGAAAAAGAAAAGAAAGAAAAGAAAAGAUAAGAAAAGAAAAGAAAAGAAAAGAAAAGAAAAGAAAAGAAAAGAAAAGAAAAGAAAAGAAAAGGGGAAAGGGGAAGAAAGUGAAUAUCUGGAAGAAAAGAAAGAGUAAAAGGGGAUGAAAAAGGGCAAGAAAAAGAAAUAAAAGAAAAGGGGAAAUACA